ACCUUUGUCGCCGAUACGGGUGUUAGUUUAUCGGACCUGAUAAACGACUUAAUAGGGAAACAGGUGUAAAACCUGUACAGUUCCCGCUGCUGUGAGCUCAAAUAUGUGCUCCUGAAACCUGGUCACUGUCAGCCUCAGGCUGAUGGGAAGGCCUCAGGAGUGAGCAAAGUCAGAAGACCUGCCUGCGUCAACGGAUGAUC
rnacentral:ncRNA from 2 species